CUUGUUGCAAAAUUCUAAACUCACUCUAAGGAAAAUACUGUUUUUCUCAUGCUAUUACUGUAUGAUAUGCCCCAGACGUGCCCCUAGGCAACGUACCGCACAGUUCAGAUUUUGCAGUCAUCAAACUUUGCUACAGAUUGUAGUUUGACAGUUCUACAUCCUGAGAGAGGAAACAGCUUAUAUGGGCUGAGUACAGAGGCUGUGCUUACUGCUCACUGUGACAUGAUGACUUCUACUGCUCCUCUCCUCUUGGCUUUAGCUUCUCUGCUUGAUUGGGGCUAUGGACAGAAGAUUCAGCAGUCCCGCACACAUUUCUCUGUCCUAGAGGGACAAUACCUGCAACUAAACUGCACAUAUACUGGUGCUGCUUUCAAUUUUUUUUGGUAUGUCCAGUAUCCUAAGAGAGGUCUGGAAUUGCUGGUAUCUACUUUGGGACAAAGGACAAACAGAGGAUUUAGAGUGAACGAGCAGAAGAAAGAUUCUUUAUUCUAUCUCAGUAAAGGAAAAACCAAAGUGACUGACUCUGCCGUGUAUUUCUGUGCUGCAACGACACAGUUCCACAGUCACACCUGACAUCUGUCUCAUAACUCCCCUGUAUACUGAUAUAUUGGUGGAA